CAGAGUUAUCUAACUCCCAAACCCAUGUGAACUUACCUUUGUUGCCUCGGCAGAAGCUACCUGGUACCCUUCUGGGACAGCCUACCUGGACCUACCAGGAACGGCUACCCUGGAUCGACCUACCCUGUAGCGCACUGCCGGUGGACCAUUCAACUCUUGUUAUUUUAUUGUAAUCUGAGCGUCUUAUUUUAAUAAGUCA
rnacentral:misc_RNA from 1 species